rnacentral:rRNA from 1 species
CGUGAGAUGUUGGGUUAAGUCCCGCAACGAGCGCAACCCUUGCCAUUAGUUGCUACGAAAGGGCACUCUAAUGGGACUGCCGGUGACAAACCGGAGGAAGGUGGGGAUGACGUCAGGUCAUCAUGGCCCUUAUGGGUAGGGCUACACACGUCAUACAAUGGCCGGUACAGAGGGCUGCCAACCCGCGAGGGGGAGCCAAUCCCCAGAAAACCGGUCGUAGUCCGGAUCGUAGUCUGCAACUCGACUGCG